UUCAUCCAUAUCCUCAUUCCUCAACCCCUCCCCUCGCAUGGGUUACACUCUGUUGCGUCGUUUAUCUCCUGUUAUCUUCGUUUACACUAUCUGGAUUGUUGGAUUUCCGAUUUAUGUUCUUGUGUUGCUCCUUUAGUUUCGGGUUGGUUGGUAGUUUCUGAUCGCGAGGUUGUUUUAUUUUAAUCCAAUUGCUGAAUAAUUAGGGAUUUGAUUGGAUUUCUGAUGUUCGAAUUCUCCGUAAUACGUCGGCUGAUUUACUGCUUCUUGUUGCUUUCUCUGCGUCUUUUGGAUUAAUCGGUGUAUUGUUUGCGCAAUGUUUGAGACGGAGGCUGUUAAUUCAAUUGUUGAAGAAUUUGGGGUUUUAAUUAAUUUUGAAAUUUAGGUUUGAAUUCAUGUUUUUGUUUUUGCACUGCUCUACAAGGUUUAUGAUUGGUUGAUAAUUACUUCUCGGGGGGCUGUUUGUUUAAUUCGAUUGCUGAAUAAUUAGGGUUUGAUUGAAUUUCCGAAAUUUGUAUUCUCAGAAAUUUACCGGCUGAUUUCUUGAUUGUUGCUGCUUUCUAGGCUUCUUUCGGAUUGUUCGGUGUAGUAUUUGUGCAAUUUUUGAGAUGGAGGCUGUUAAUUCAAUUGCUGAAGAACUAGGGUUUUGAUCAAUUGAUGUUACCUGGAUUGUUCGAUUCCAGAUUUAUGUUCUUGUGUUGAUCCUUUAGGUUUCGGGUUGGUUGGUAGUUUCUGAUCGCGAGGUUUUUUUUUUAAUCCAAUUGCUGAAUAAUUAGGGGUUUGAUUGGAUUUCUGUUGUUCGAAUUCUAUGUAAUACGUUGGCUGAUUUACUGAUUGUUGUUGCUUUCUAGGCGUCUUUCGGAUUAAUCGAUGUACUGUUUGCGCAAUGUUUGAGACAUAGGCUGUUAAUUCAAUUGUUGAAGAAUUAGGGGUUUUAAUUAAUUUUGAAAUUUGGGUUUGAAUUCAUAUUUUUGUUCUUGCACUGCUCCUCAAGGUUUAUGAUUGGUUGAUAAUUACUUCUCGGAGGGCUGUUUGUUUAAUUCGAUUGCUGAAUAAUAAGGGUUUGAUUGAAUUUCUGAAAUUUGUAUUCUCCGAAAUUACCGGCUGAUUUCUUGAUUGUUGCUGCUUUCUAGGCUUCUUUCGGAUUGAUUGGUGUAGUAUUUGUGCUAUUUUUAAGAUGGGAGGCUGUUAAUUCAAUUGCUGAAAAACUAGGGUUUUGAUCAAUUGAUGUUACAUGGAUUGUUCGAUUCCAGAUUUAUGUUCUCGUGUUGCUCCUUUAGGUUUCGGGUUGGUUGGUAGUUUCUGAUCCCGAGGUUAUUUUUUUUUUAAUCCAAUUGCUGAAUAAUCAGGGAUUUGAUCGGGUUUCUGUUGUUCGAAUUCUCUGUAAUACGUCGGCUGAUUUACUGAUUGUUGUUGCUUUCUAGGUCUUUCGGAGUGAUCGGUUUAAUAUUUGCGCAAUUUUUGAAACGGAGGCUGUUAAUUCAAUUGCUGAAGAAUUAUGGGUUUUAAUUAAUUUUGAAUUAUGGGUUUGAACUCAUAUUUAUGCUCUUGCACUGCUCUAUAAGGUUUCUAAUUGGUUGAUAGUUUCUUAUCAGAGGGAUGUUUGUUUAAUUCGAUUGCUGAAUAAUUAGGGUUGAUUGAAUUUCUGAAAUUUGUGUUCUCCGAAAUUUACUGCAUGAUUUCUAGGCUUCUUUUGGAUUGGUCGGUGUAGUAUUUGCGCAAUUUUUGAGUUGGAGGCUGUUAAUUCAAUUGCUGAAGAACUAGGGUUUUAAUCAAUUUUGAUAAUCGAUUAUUCCUAGUUUAUGGUGGUUUUAUUCAGUUUUGAUUAUCGAUUCUAUUUGAAGCAAAAUUGAAGUAUUCAGUUUUGAUUUAAUUGCUAGAAGAAAUUUUGUGGCUUGAUUUGUGAUGAUCAUGAGGUUGUGUUGGCGGUUGAAUAGGGAUCAAGUAAGACGUCUGUUGAUUCGGAUGCGGGUUACUAUUUGAUUAAAAAGUCAGUGUUGGAUUUUGGUUAGAUUUUGAUGAUUAUGCAGAUACUUCGCUUAAAUAGAUUUUGAUGAUUAUGCAGUAGCUGCCUAAAGGUUAGUGUUAGAUUUUGGUUAGAUUUUGAUAAUUAUGCAGUUGCUUCGCCUAAAGGAUCGUGUUGGGUUUGGUUUGAAUUUUGAGGAGUAUGCAGUUGGUUGUAUAAUGGUGAUCAAUUAGGUCGUUUGUUGGUAUGCAAUUCAAUAUGUCAGGUUUCGAAUGUGGUUGUGUUGCUUGUAGUCGCUAAACUCUUGCAUAUUUCAGGCGUUCUGUUUCUGUUAACUAUGAUUUUGUCCGGGUCUCCUUGUGAUUUUGUGAUGAUAAAUAAGUUGAGAAUUUGUAGAUAAAAGUUUGUUAUGAAAAACUCAAAUCGUUCCCUCAUAAAAAAAGAAGAAAAACUCAGAUCGUAUAGAUGAUGGUAUUUACUCUAUUUAGAUACCCUUGUUACCAUAUAGGAGUCCUCUGUACUGUUAAUUUUAGACUUCAUGCUUUGUAUUUCUUAUAACAUCUGCAAUGGAAGUUUCCUUCGUUUCUCCCCUGCUUUGGUUAUUUUGACUUCUGGUUUGCCUUCAAGCGCAUAUGGCUUAUAUAUUCUUGAUAUCAUAUAUUGUAAAUAUUGCUAAAUACCUAGUUUUGAACUGUUUUAAAUGGGUUUAUUUUCAUCUUUUUGUUCUGUUAUUUAUUUAUGGGUUUUAUUUGAACUUUUAACAAAUUUUUGAUUUUUUAAAGUAAUUCAUAGGUCAUAUUUUCAUUUGAAACAAAAUUGUUUCCUUUCUAAUUUUCCCUUUUGGGUUGGAUUUUGAUACAGGAAAAGCUUGAGAAAGUCGAAAUCCAAAUAAGUUGAUUUCUUACUAAUAGUCAUAUUUGCAUUUGAAUCAAAAUUUAUUUUUUGUUUCCUAAUUAUUGUUGCGAGUUCCCCAGAUCUUUUGUUUCUUCAUAAAUAAUGUUGCUUCUGGUAUAUUGUCCAGAGACCAAAAGUAUGAGGAUUCAGAGUGGUUGACUACCUGAGAUUCUAUGACAUACAAAAUUCAUGGGACUGAAUUUUGAGGUCCGAAUUCUCCAAGUAUUGGUUAAUUCAUUGAUUAUUUUUGCUGGACGAUUUGUGUUUUGUUUUUUCUGCUGCAGUUGCUUCAUGUUAGUUGAAUUAUUCUGAAAUAUGGCUUUGGUGUUGGAAUCUCCAGUCUCUAUGUUACUGUCUGUUUCCUCCUAUUCCUGCUUUAUUAUGGAAAUUGAAUUUGUAUGUAAGUAACGCAUGCUUUGUCUGUUUCUGUUAAUUAUGCUUUUGUCCGAGUCUCCUUGUGAUUCUGUGAUGAUGAAUAAGGUGAGGAUUUGGAGAUAAAAGUUUGUUAUGAAAAACUCAUAUUGUAUAGAUGAUGGUAUUUACUCGAUUAAUCGAUUUAGAUUCCCUUGUUACCAUAUAGGAGCCCUUUGUGCUGUUGAUUUCAGACUUCAAGCUUUGAAUUCCUUAAUAAUAUCUGCAACGGAAGUUUCCUUCGGUUCUCCCCUGCAUUGGUAAACUGUAUUGUGACUUCUGGUUUGCCUUAACGCAUACGGCUUAUAUAUUCAUGAUACUUUGUAUUGUAAAUAUUGCUAAAUAACUAGUUUUGAACUGUUUUGAACGAGUUUAUUUUCAUGUUUUUGUUCUGUUAUUUAUUUUUCAGUUAUACUAACUUAAACAUUCAUUAUUUAGAAUGAUCAACUUUUAACAAAAUUUUGAUUUUUGUAAGUAAUUCAUAGGUCAUAUUUUCAUUUGAAACAAAAUUGUUUCCUUUCUAAUUUUCCCUUUUGGGUUAAUUUUGAUACAGGAAAAGCAUGAGAAGUCGAAAUCCAAAUAAGUUGAUUCCUUACUAAUAGUCAUAUUUCAUUUGAAUCAAAAUUUAUUUUUUAUUUCCUAAUUAUUGUUGCGAGCUCCCCCAGAUCUUUUGUUUCUUCAUGAAUAAUGUUGCUUCUGGUAUAUUGUCCAGAGACCAAAGUAUGAGGAUUCAGAGUGGUUGACUACCUGAGAUUCUAUAACAUACAAAAUUCAUGGAACUGAAUUUUGAGGUCUGAAUUCUCCAAGUAUUGGUUAAUUCAUUGAUUAUUUUUGCUGGAGGAUUUGUGUUUUGUUUUUUCUGCUGCAGUUGCUUCAUGUUAGUUGAAUUAUUCUGAAAUAUGGCUUUGGUGUUGGAAUCUCCAGGCUGUCUGUUUCCUCCUAUUCCUGCUUUAUCAUGGAAAUUGAAUUUGUAUGAUUGCUUUCUUGCUUGUUGGAAAUUACAGUAAUUGAUUUCCACUCUCUCUGAGUCAUGUGUGGUAUUGAUUUCUUUCUCCCAAGGCUUGUCUUAUUUUAGGAAAUUUUAUUUGUUGUUAUUCUUUUUUGGGUCUAUUUCUAGCUUAAGCGCCCUGGUAUGUGUACUAUUUUCUGUUUUUGGUUAGUUGUUGGUAAGUUGUUUUCAAUUUUUUAUAUUUCUAUUUGUGACUUGUUGGAUUAUAGCUUUGUGCUCGAGGUUGGGGCGUAGGGAUGUAACUGUUCACAUCCAGGUAACCUUUUCUGUAGAACCAGUAUAUUGUUGCAGACUUGUGAUCUUGUGGCUUACUCGUAUGAAUUCUUUAUUGGAAAUUUUUGAAUUUGUUGUUUUCCUGUGGUUACUUCUUGAUAAGUCGUUUGUUGUUUUGGAUGUGGGUUAUAAUUUGAUUAAAAAGUUUGUGUUAGAUUUUGGUUUUCUUUUGAUGAUUAUGCAGUUGCUUCGCUUAAAUAGAUUUUGAUGAUUAUGCAGUUGCUGCGCCUAAAGGUUAGUGUUAGAUUUUGGUUAGAUUUUGAUGAUUAUGCAGUUGCUUCGACUAAAGGUUCCGUGUUGGGUUUGGUUUUAAUUUUGAGGAUUAUGCAAUUGGUUGUAUAGUCGGUGAUCAAGUAGGUCGUUUGUUGGUUUGCAUUCAAUAUGUCGGUUACAAAUGCGGUUGCGUUGCUUGUAGUCGCUAAACUCUUGCAUAUUUCAGGCGUUCUGUUUCUGAUAACUAUGCUUUUGUCCGAGUCUCCUUGUGAUUCUGUGAUGAUGAAAUAAGUUGAGGAUUUGGAGAUAAAAGUUUGUUAUGAAGAACUCAUAUCGUAUAGAUGAUGGUAUUUACUCGAUUUAGAUUCCCUUGUUACUAUAUAGGAGCCCUCUGUGCUGUUGAUUUCAGACUUCAUGCUUUGAAUUUCUUAAUAAUAUCUGCAACGGAAGUUUCCUUCGGUUCUCCCCUGCAUUGGUAGACUGUAUUAUGACUUCUGGUUUGCCUUAAAGCAUAUGGCUUAUAUAUUCAUGAUAUUUUGUGUUGUAAAUAUUGCUAAAUACCUAGUUUUGAACGAUACUAACUUAAACAUGUGUUUUAUUUAGAAUGAUGAACUUUUAACAAAUUUUUGAUUUUUGUAAGUAAUUCAUAAGUCAUAUUUUCAUUUGAAACAAAAUUGUUUCCGUUCUAAUUUUCCCUUUUAGGUUUGAUUUUGAUACAGGAAAAGCAUGAGAAGUCGAAAUCCAAAUAACUUGAUUCCUUACUAAUAGUCAUAUUUUCAGUUGAAUCAAAAUUUAUUUUUCAUUUCCUAAUUAUUUUUGCAAGCUUCCCCAGAUCUUUAGUUUCUUCAUAAAUGAAGUUGCUUUUGAAAGUGCCAAGUAUUGUCCAGAGACCAAAGUAUGAGGAUUCAGAGUGGUUGACUACCUGAGAUUUUAUGACAUGCGACAUUUAUGGGACUGGAUUUUGAGUUCCGAAUUCUCCAAGUAUUGGUUAAUUUACUGAAUUUUUGCUGGACAAUUUGUGUUUUGUUUUUUCUGCUGCAGUUGCUUCAUGUUGGUUGAAUUAUUCUGACUUAUGGGCUUUGGUGUUGGAAUCUCCAGUCUAAUGUUGCUGUCUGGUUUCUUCCUAUUCCUGUUUUAUCAUGGAAAUUGAAUUUGUAUGUAAGUAACGCAUGCUUGUUCUUCGUGGUGGUGUCAAAAGUUUCUUUAAUUAUAUUAACUACCAAUUUAUCAGUAUAAUGUUGAUCUCCAUCCCUACGUGGUUAGUUUUACUAAGAUCAGUGGCACGUUAAUUCUCAGGAUUGCUUUCUUGCUUGUUGGAGAUUACAGUAAUUGAUUUCCACUCUCUCUGAGUCAUGUGUGGUAUUGGUUUCUUUCUCUCAAGGCUUGUGUUAUGUUAGGAAACUUUUUUUGCUGUUAUUCUUUUUUGGGUCUAUUUCUAGCUUAAGCUCCCCGAUAUGUGUACUCUUUUCUGUCCUUGGGUAAGUGUUGGUAAUUUGUUUUUUAAUUUUUUAUAUUUCUAUUAUUGACUUGUGGGAUUAUAGCUUUGUGCUCGGGGUGGGGGCGUAGGGAUGUAACUGUUCACAUCCAGGUAACCUUUUCUGUAGAACCACUAUAUAUUUGCAGACUUCUGACUUGUGAUCUUGUGGCUUACUCGUAAGAGUUUUUAUUUGUGAUUUUUGAAUUUGUUGUUUUCCUAUGGUUACUUCUUGAUACGUGGUACCUGCAAUUGGUGACUGGGAAUCUGGGAUGAAGAAUUUUCUGGUUUGUUUCUGUUACAGACAACAAUAUUUGGUAGUUCUCAUGGUGUGUAAUACUUAGGAUUAUAGUUUAGUUUAGAAUCUUUUUGUCCACAGAGACCCCUUCAUCCUUCCAACUAUAAUUUUUCCCUUUGAAGUCGCAUUUUAUCGACAUGGACAUGGUUUAUCAAAUCUAUGGGGUUGAGGAAGUUUCUUUCCUGUUUGUCCAUUUCCCACAUUUAUCUACAUUCGCCUGACAUACUAUUAUUACCGUCCCUUAGGUGCUAAGUGGUGGCAACUGCAGGGGCGACGGGUUUUUCUUAUUCAUUUGUUUUUUCACCUACAUAAUGUUCUCUAUUUUUCUAUUGGCACGUAUUUUGGUUCUUGUGGUAGUUAAGUUAUUGCUUAUUGUGGUAGGUAGCAUCUCCAUUGUGAUAGCAUGCUUGCUGGAAAGUGAUUGGUUUCUGAUAGUAUUUCAGAGUAAGUAUUAUUUUCUUUAAGGCUAGUGUGGCAGUAUCCUGUUUCUUAAUAAGUUUUUACUCUGUGGGUGAAUUUCUAGCUUCAGCUUCCUGGUAUGUGUACUUUCCUUUUUAAUUUUUUGGUACACUUUGAACCAUAGUCGAUUCACUUUUUCUCUUAUUCCAUGGAGCCCUCUAUCUUUUCUAUCAACAGUUACUUCGCCAUCGGAAUCACAAAUUGGUGGCAGAUAAUAACUACUGAUCUAAGGGAGUUUUAUACCUGUUCCUUCUAACAUUUCCCAGACUAACUUAAGUGCAAACAUCCUUAGGCCAUUAAUUGUUCUGUACGUAAACAGACAACUGCUUCUCUAUUGGAUGCUGUGUUGAUCAAAGGCAUUAUGUUGAUCCAACUGCCAUAUUUCUUGGAGAAAAAUCACGGUUUUGUUGGUUUGUGCACUUUCUGCACGACUUGAUGAUUAAUUAUUUUUGAUAAACACUGGCUUUCUUGGGCGCAAAGUUUUUUUAUUUUCUUGUUUCGACUGUUGUGGCGCUUAACUUUUGCAGAUUUAUGGUGUUCUCUUCACUUCCAUUUGCUGUUGUGAUGUCAUCUCUCGAUUCAUGAUUAAGUGAUUUGUCAUAAUCAAACUGGGACUCGUUUGGGUUUGUUUCAGGCUUGUUGCUUAUUUUCUUAAAAAUCGAACCUCAUUAUCAAGUAGGUAAUUUCUAUUUAAUCAUUAUACCGGCCUGUGACUUAUCUGCAGCCUGCACACAAUGAAUUUCUUGUGAGCAGUACACGAUUUUUGUUGUAGCUUAAUAAUAGUUGUUCCUCUAAUUUGAAGGCAAUCUGGUUAAAUAUACGUGUAAAAUGAGCAAUUCCCUUGGAUAGUGUCGUUUAAAAAUGAAAAUUACCGAUGUUGAUGAUAGGCGAAAAAUUAGGAGUUUAGUGGCUUAUUGAUUACUUUUGUUGGAAGAGUUUUCUUUGUUUUGUCUUCAAUGGUCAUGCAGUUGCUUCUCGAUGGUUGAUUAAUUGGUGAUCAAGUAGGUUGUUUGUUGACUCCAUUGUUCGACAAUGUUAUUUGCAGAAAGGUUUGUGCUAAAUGAUUCCGUAAUCUUUUCUGUGCAGUUGUUUCAACUACGGUUGUUCCUGUAGUUUGCUUAAUCUCUUGCAGAUCUGUUUUUGCUUUUGCCUCUUGAAAUCCUCGUUAUUUUCUUUACUGGUUUCAUUAUCAAGCGAUGGUGGAUUCGGACAAAGUUCCUCUUGAAACCAAAUGAGUUGACGGUAUUUUCAUAGGUUACAAAUAGUUGAACAUCUGAUGAUGGUGUAAUUAGCGUAUCAAAAAAUGAUGAUUUUAAUUUUGAUUCUACUCAUUCUCAAUCCGGGGCCUUAGUGUUGUCAAUUCAAUUUUAUACUGUUUCCUCGGAAAUCUGCCUGCAGUGCGUUCUUAUCUUCUCCUCCUUUUUGAUCAUGGACAUAUUUCCAGCAAGUAUAGGAUAUUGGAUACAUUUGAAGAAAUGCAAGCUUGUGAUUUGGGAUAGUGUUGUGAGUCGUUCUCUUUUCAUUUUUCUGAUUACUUGCCUUCAAAACCGAAUUUCACAAGCUAUAGUAUGUAGGUUGCAUAUAUUUCAACAUCUGAUGGCGUGGUCAACGUUAAAAAAAUUAUUUGUUUAUGCUUUGAAUUUUCAAUUUAUUCAUUGUCAAAUUGUGAUUCUACUCAUUCUCAAACUGGGACCUUGAUGUUGUCAACUUCAGUUUUUAUACAGACUACAGCAUGUUGUGUUGUAUGUAAUCUUCUCCUCCUGUCUGAUCAUGGACCUAUUUUUGCACGUUAGGAAAUUGAAUCCAUGUGUAAGUAACAGAUACUUCUGAUGUGGGAUAGUGUUGUGUCACUAUUUUUCUAGUCAUUAUCUGAUUAGAGGGUGAUUAGGCUGUUGCUAUUUUGUCACCAGUAGCAUCUCUAGAGUUGCUUGCUUUAUCUGGAUUCUGAAAAUUUUAGUGAUUGAUUUUUUACAAUUUUUGGUUCUUAUGGUGUUUGGUUAUGUGCUCCUAGGAUUUUGCAGAAAUUUAGUUUCUUCAUGACAUUUUUUUUUUUUUUUUGUCAAUUUUGUAGCUGGUAGCGAGUGUUGAUAAUUUCCUUUUUACUGUUUUUAUUCUGAAGAUUUUGCUCAUCUUGGUUGGUAUUCAUUAUAUAUUUUUUUUUGUCAAUUUUGUAGCUGGUAGCGAGUGUUGAUAAUUUCCUUUUUACUGUUUAUAUUCUGAAGAUUUUGCUUGUCUUGUAUGGAGAUAGCUUAUGCUUCGAUGACUUUGAAUCAUGUUGGUCUCACUAGAGUUGGUGGCGCAGGAUCUUGAUAAGAGAUGUCUAGAAGUGUACUGUGUACAUGCAGCUCAUCCUGUCCUUUCCCUCCUAAAUCUGGGAUUUAUUAGGUUUGCUGUGGCUCGUUCGUAAUUUUUGUUGGGUAAAUUGGCUUCGAUUGGUUUGGAACUGAUGCUUCUUUAGUUGCUUUGAGUGGAUGUCAAAAACUUUGUGGUUUGAUUUUAUUGCAGAAACUAUGCAUCUGUUCAUGGUUCUGGUUCUGGUUCUGUUACCGAAAAUAAUAUUAUUAUGCGAACAUCCUUAGGCUGUCUUAUUUUGUAGGUAUACAACCAGUCUUUUUGGCAAUAGACCUCAUUCAACCAAAAUGAUUAUAUGCAGGAGUUCACAUCUAGAUCCGUUACAUGAAGAUUUGAAAAAAAAUAGAUUCUGGUAUUAGAAUAUUUCCCUUUAUGCUCCUCAUAGAAUGUGUAUUUUGCGGUUGAUGUUCCUUACAUAACUUGUUGGAUGAAGAUCAUUUAGCAUGCUAAUGCUCUUAAUUCUUAAUGUCCGAAUGGUGUUAGGGUACUCAAGCUUUCAAUGCACUGAGUGAGAUGAUGUGGCAUGCCUUCUACCUUAUUUUCUUUUACCCUAAUAACCUGUGGAGCCAUUUUAUAUCCCCUGCUUUCUGCUAAGGUGCUUGACUCAUGCAGCUAGUUCCGGUUUCUAUGUUGAUAGUUAAGAGCCUUCAGGUAUGGAGCUGGGAUUUUGACUAUCCUCUCUUUCCCUCUCUUUCUCUCUCUUGGUGGUUGGAGAAUGUAAGUGAGCCAUUGAGCUUUGCCUGGUAAAGAUUGUCCCAAGCUCCAGGUUGAGUUUCUCACUCUCUUGCAGUUUCUCCCACGGUUUGAUUUUAGUAUUUAAUCUACUUCUGUUUCUCUUGGCUCCAGUGAAUGUGAACCAGCUGUGAUUGCCCCAAUUCUCACAACAUUUUGAUAUUUGUUCAGGAGUGGUAUUGGUACUUGAUAGAUUUGUGGUAUGAGGUUUGAGUUUUGUUGGCGCGCCUUUUAGUUUAUGACAUGUGCGUAAGAAGUAGAUUAUGUUUCCAGAAUUGUUGUGACUUGACAAUGAUUAUUUAUGAUGAAGAGGGGUAGGUUUCGAGAGAUUGUUUUUUUGGUUUUACUGUUCUGUGUGGUUUCAGAUGUUCUCUUUUUCUGGGGUCCUAUUGCUCUGCGUGUCCUUGUUUAUGACUUUUUGUUGACGAGUGUGAGGUUUAGUAGUUUUUAUGUACUUUUAACUAGUGGAAUUCCUUUCGCUGAUAUGCAAUCACUUUUGUGUGCUUUUUUUACUUAUGGAAUUUGUAUACUUCUAUACAAUCUGUAGCUUGCUUUUCGACAUGUCCAUCAUUAUGAUAAGUUAAUUUUGACUUUGGGAUCCCUGAUACUCUUUUAUUUCUUGGCUUCUUGCAUCAUCCCUCUUAACUUCAGGAGUUCAGAUGUUCCAUGGUUAUGAUUUUGUGAAUUUUGAUGGUUACAAGAGCAUAUCUUCAGAAGGCUUUUGCUUGUUGUGACUUGCUAGGUUAAAUUGCUCUAAGAUUUCUUGUUGGUUUCUUUUCCUAAAUCGUUUCAUGACUUACUUUUUUGCUUUCAAAAUUGUCGGUGCACUUUGAAGUAUUUGCAAUGGCUUGCAUUUGGAGGUCUUCUGAAUAUUUUGAUGGUGAUGUCUUGUAUAUUUGCACACUGGACCUGCAGAGUGUAGUUGGUUAUUUUUACAAAGAUUUUGGACUCCUUUUCCUUAUAUAAUCUUUUUACUUUUUACCUUUGGGAAUUUAUAUUUUCUAAGUUUUAUUGAUUUAUUUAGUUAAGCGGUUAUAUUGGCUGACUUCACAUUCUGUUGCUUACAUGAUAUAUUAAGGUGGAAUCUCCUUUUCCUUGGAGUUAUCUGGAAGCUCAAGAUAAUAUUAAAUUUCGGGUUAGGCUUUCUCUUUGGCAUAUCAUUAGUGUGUGUUCUCUUUCUUCUUGAGUUAAUUUGGUAGUAGUUGCUGUUGAUUUUCUCUGCUCGGGCAAAAGUUCAUGGGAAGUUGGUUAUCUGUGUUGUGACUGGUUCUGCAGAAGAUUUCUGUUGGGAAGUGGUGUGUUGCCUGUAAUAUUUCUUCUUAUUCCAGUGGGAGUCCUCCGUAUCUUGUACAAGUGUCAUCAUUGCUCAAUUAUUUGCUAACAUUUGCUUGUUUAGUAGGCUCCAAUAUAUCAGGUUUAUUUGUCUGGAAAAUUACGCUGGGUAAAGAUGUCUCAGGUUUUGUUUUUUGGAUAUCAAGGAUAAGUUCUAAUGGUUUUGGAUGUCAGGAAUAAGUUCCAAUGCUUUGGAAUAUCAGGGAUAUGUUCUAUUGUUUUCGGGGCUUUAACUAUUCCAUGAUUUCAACACAGAUAUAUUAGACAUAUGUUAUCUUUUUGUUCUGGUGCAAGAUGUGGUAGAUACACAUGGUUUUGGGACAAUGGUAAUUUGUUUUUGAACUUUUUGCUAUGUUUCAUGUUAUCAGAUACAGAGAAAAAGAGAUGCGGUGUUAUAUCUUGUGUAUGUUGAUAUGAGAGUGGUGGUAUUGAGAUUUGUUGCUUUUGAAAGAUGGAAGAGUUGCAAUCUGUCCCCCAUAAUUUACACAACUUCUACUCCUAAAUUAUGCCAUCAGUUGGAGUUUUUAAUGGCAUUUGGUUUUGGCUCUGAGUAUUCUUCUUCAAGUUUUAUGUUGGUCUAAUGGUUUUCCUGUCAUCAGGGGUUGUAUUAUUCUUUUUGUUACAAUUACAUUGCAGUGACAGUGGUGAUACACAAUAGUCUUAAGUACUAUUUACACGUACACAAUAGGGAGGCAGAGGUUUGGUGCAUAAGGGAGUUUCUGAUUUUCUUUGUCUCUGAUGAUCUGAUAUUGAAUCUCCUGAUAUAGAUUAUGAACAUUCCUCAGUUCGUGUUGAGGUUUAUGUUUAAGUUUGCUAUGUGAUUUUCUGUUCGACAUCUUCUAUGAGUUUUAGGAUGUGAUCGUCUGGGUACCAUGUCAAUUGGUGUUAGUUUCCAAGGUAGGGAGCUCUGGUGUGAUUGUCUGGGAACCAUGUCUAGUGGCAAUGUUUUUAGGUAGGGAGUACUAUGAGCUUUCUCCUAUGGUUGACUCGGAUUUCGUGUAUACUAGUUGAGCAAGCAGAGGGUACUGAUUUUUGUGUAACAUGUGUUGUAUUUUUUAUAUAUUUUUCUAUAAUGUUCAUGGAUUAUAUUGAGGUUCUAUAAGGCCACAUACCCCGCUUGUUUGGUGGUAUGAUUUUUUAUUUUUUAUUUUUUAUUUUUUAUUUCGGUGUUUAGUUCAGCAAUACUUGUAUAUAUGUAGUAGACAAAUCCAUAUUAUAUAAUUGUUUUUUUUUUUGGGUACUACUGCUCAUUCAUUUGAUCUAUAAUACUCACUUUCUAUCUACUUACUGCCACAUUGAUCAUCGGAAGGAGCUAGUGUUUGUUCUAUUCAACUUGAGAAUUGUUAUUAUGCAAGUUAACAACGAAUUUAGAUGAUGUCUUUUUGUAAAUGUAUGAGGGAUUGCUACAUUUGAACUUCGUUUCUUGAACUUCUAUUAGUCAGUUGACUUCGAUUUGACCAGACUGCGCCAGAAAGGAACUAGUUGUAAAUAAAAAGAAACAAGUUGUAACUAAAUCUAACCUGGUUGAAAAAAUCAUAGCUGAGAGAAUUAUGAGCUAGACCGACUGAAUGGAAUACAUAUAGCUAGUUGGCUUACGUAGACUAAUGAAUAAACUUGAUAAUAAUAAAUCUGAAGGUAAAACCUUGAUUUUAAGGUUUCUAAAAUAUUUUAUUUUUGUUUUUAGAAUAAAAAUUGAGGUUGUGGAGUAAUCUUAUAAAUUAUGAUGCAUUGUUUCAGACUAUGAAUUUCACUGCCUAUGGUCUAGCGACUAAAAGUAGUUUGGUGCAGUUAUAUGUAUUUCCUGUUCUUGUACUCACAUUAUGCAUUAGUUUUAUGUUGAUCCCAUUUUGUUGGCAUUUGGUCUCUUCCUAGUUGUGCUUUAUAGGAUUGUUUGCUUCACAUGCAUGCUUGACGUAUAUAUCUUGUUGACCUUGCUUUGCUUGAUUGUGUUGUAACUACAACGGAAUUCGUGUGUGAUUUAGCAUCAUUGCCUUCAUGUUAUUGACAAGAUUUCAAAGGUUUCUUGUUGAUUAGGAGGGAUGUUGGACCUUGGUUUGAUCUGCAUUCUUAAGCCAUCGAUUCAUGGUAUUGUUAAUUUUAUUUAUCAUGCUUGGUUUGGGUGUGCUCUCUGCUGCAGUAAAUUUUUUCUUUUAGAAUUACAGAGGGGAUAGCAUAUGUAUUAAUGUAUUUAUUCAAUGCAUGUUUUUGAAUGGUUUUGAUCGCAUAUAGUGUGUGAGGUAUCUUGGUAUAGAUAGUUAAACUUCAUUUUCUGUUUCAGUUAUAUAUAGUAUGGUUGGAUUAUGCGUGAGAUAACACGUGCUUCAGGUGAAUUAGGUCUAUGUUUGGUCUUGUCCUAUCAUGUUUUUGAUAUUUGAUGAUGUGAAUUUUUUAUUGUUAACAAUAAUUUUUGUUCUUACCUUUACUGUGAUAUUUUGUCAUCUGCCUCAGGCUCAUGUUUGUUUUUAACUGGUAGGUCUGGUCUUUACUGGGUAUAUAUGCUUGUAGAACUUUCUAGUUGUCUUAAGCGUUCAGGUUAUUGGUAUUUGGUUGUCUCUUUUUUCUGGGAAGUAUAUGUUGUAGUUGUUGAUUGAGCUUGUUCUGGUGAUUUGUGAGUAUUCCUGAUGAGUGUGAAGCAUCAAUUUGUCUUUCUGCCCUGACUAGGAUGGGAAAAUAUAUGCUGAACUAUGAAGAAUGUGCAUAUUGAGUUCUUAAACAUAUACGAAAUAUAUCCUUUGUUGUCCACUUUUUAAGCACCCCAUUGGCAUGCUUUCUUCCUAUGGUUCUAGUGUUUCUUGAUUUUGAUUAGGUAGAGAAUAUUUGUAGUUUUUAUCAAUAUGAUGUCCUUUCUUUGGUUGUUUGGAAUUUUAUUUUGAAGGCAUGAAAGUGAAGGGGGGUCUGUUGCUGACUUGCUGAUUUAAAAUGUAGGUUUGUGACCUUAUUUACGUUAUUUUAUUGUCUGUUCCCUUGGUAGCGUUGGAAAUUUAUCAGUUUCUAAUAUCUUGUAAACAUAAACAUAGUGCUUUCUUUCUCGUAGUUCAUUGGAGGUUUCGGUUUGUCUCAAGUUAACCAUACAUAUUGCAUAUGCCAUUAGAUAAAUGUGAUUGCACUGCUUCAAUACAGGGUUUGCCAACUUCAGCGAAACUGUAAGCAUCUAUUAUGUUCCUUGUUUCUUCUUUGUUGGGUUUUGUAUUAGAUAAAUGUGAUUGCACUGCUUCAAUAUAGGGUCUGCCAACUUCAGCCAAACUGUAAGCAUCUAUUAUGUUCUUUGUUUCUUCUUUGUUGGUUUUGUACUGCAGAAAUUUAUGUUUUAGGCAUUUUUAAUAAAAAAAAGUUUUUAACUCCGCCUGUGAGUGUCACUUUGUGGCAAUCGCUGCCGGUCUCAAGCCCGGAUAAAGGAGGAGAGUUGCAGUAGGUCUGUGGCUGAUGCUAUAGACAUUCAACCGUCUCUUUUUUCCAGUAAAUUAGCAAUGAUAGAGUAAUUGGUGUAUAAACUCUACAUUCUGCUUACCUGUUUAUUUUUAUUAGACUCUUUCUUGACUUGAGGUUAUACUUCAGCAUCAUUUUGAUGCCAUACUCUUGGGUUUGGUGUUGGCACUGCAGAAUAUGUAUAAUGCUUUUGUUCUAUUCUAUCAUUUCAAUGGAGGUACAUCUCAUCAUAUUUAUUAUGUUGGCUUCUCAUGCACGCAUGAUUUUUUUUUCUUUGCCUUAGUUGAUUGAGCUUUUACUGCAAAGAUGACGACACCUGAGCUUAAAAACAGGAUUCUUAGAAAAAAAAUCAUAUUUAUCCACUUAUAUGCAUUCACAACUUGUACAUGAGUUGUGUUCGUAUCAAUUGCACUUUGUGUUGCGAGUAAGAGAGAUAAAAAGGAGGGACAUAUAAUUAUCUCUAUUUUAUAGGCUUUUCUACAAUUUUACACACAACUUUUAGGCUCUAAAUUGAGUUGUAGAAUCCCUGUAAAGGCUCAAAUUGUGGAGGGUGGUCCUCUUGUAAGUUCGGUUCAAGCUCAUAUGCUGAUGGUUCCUUUUACUGCAGCUGAUGUCAAGGCUGCUCUUUUCUCCAUUCCAGAAGAUAAGGCACCAGGGCCUGAUGGCUAUGGAACUCAUUUCUUCAAGGAUGUGGCACAUUGUUGGUGAUGUGGUGUAUGUAAGGCUGUUUUGUCUUUCUUCACUAGUGGUAAAUUGCUUAAACAAGUUAAUGCCACUGCUAUUACUCUAAUCCCUAAGAGUUGUUGUCCAAGUAGUGUGGCUGACUCUAUACCUAUUUCAUGCUGCAAUACCAUUUAUAAGUGCAUCACUAAAAUGAUAUGUGAUAAAUACUUAGAAUAGUUUUGCCUGAUAUUAUAGCAGAUAACUAGUAUAAUACCCGUGCGAUGCACAGUUUAAAUUAAUUUUGAAUGAAAACUAAAUUACAUUUAUUGACAAUUAUCAUCAAUAGUGCUUAUAGAUAUUAUUCUAAUUAAAAUUAAUACAUGAUAGAUAUGUUAUGACCCCGUUCAGUCUCUUAUUUUAUUAAAAAAAAAACUUAAAACGACCAAGGAACAUAUAUAAAAUUAUUUUCACCUUGUUCAUCACCCGUGUCAAAAAGUAAAGUCAUUUGCAUCCAUCAGUUACUUCGAUAAUCAUAUCCAUCUUAUACUCGACACACCAUGUACCUUUAUACUCGAUCACUUAACACCCACUCAUACAAUCUAUUUUAUUUAGCUACAGAUGACUUCGACGUGGGGCGAGUGCGGAAGAUUGGUCCCUCCAUAACCUUACUUGUUUAUCUUGUUCCUAUCCUCACCACACACGAUAAGUAUGAUACUCAUCCUCAUGUCAAACACAAUCCAGAUCCCAUCCGCACUGGGUACAAAAUAAAACUCAUCUCCGCUUCAUCACCCACCCCGAAAUUGACACCCGACUCAAGCUCAACCUUGGUCCGACAAUUUCUUUUUGGUAUUAGAGUUUUGAAUUUUAAAACUAUGUUCUAAACUGUUUGACAGCGUACUCCAUCUUAAAACUUAUUACGGUGAUCGAAUAAAUAUACAAAAUUAUAAUAUGUACAUUAGUAUUAAAAAAAAUAGUGAUAUACUCAUAAUCAAUUAGAUAAAGGAUAACUGAGACGGUCAUGUCCUACCCACGGUGGAUAACCCCACCACCCGCAUCAGAUACAUUAUUCAUUCCCAUAACCCACAAAACUUAUCUCCAUCCCCAGCCACCUGAGAUCGAUGAUGGGGUCAACCAAACAAUUUUGAGGGUCAAAAAAUUUCCUCCAUCCCCGCGUCAGGUAACUAAGUUACAUACUUCAUAUCAAAUAGUUCAUAAUUGCAAAGAUAGUAUAUCACUUGUAUGAUUCACAAUUUAAAAUUUUAAUAUCAAUUUGUACACUAAUUUGAAAUCAAUCUACUUACUGAGUAAUAGUGGAGAAGUUUAUAUUUUAGAUUAAUAAACUACAAAAUAUAAAUAUGGACUAUGAGAUUCUUUUUAACACUCCUAUUUUUUUCUUUUUUUAAUGUUCAACAACAAAGCAAUACAAUUAGAGAGUGACACUUGUCAGCUCCACAUCGAUGCAUCCUUAUAUACUAAUUAUAAUCAAUCUAUUUUACUGAGAAAUAAUGGACAUGUAUAUAUUAAUUGAUUAAUAAAAUUGCAAAUAUGUAUAUGGAUUUUGAAAUUCUCUUUAACACUACUAUUUACUUAUUUUUUGAAUGUCCAACAACAAAUCAAUACAAUCUUUUCCCCCUUUCUUAUUCUAUUUUAAAUUUAUUGAAUUAUUUUUCGUAACAGGGGAUUUAAAUAUAUUUUAUGACAUGAAUAAGUCAUAUUCUGACCUGUUCUAUGUCCUUUUUUUUAUGCGAAUUGAUGUUAUACAACAAAAAAUUGUAAAUCCAAUAGAUAAUUUCUUAUAUUUCCUUUUUUAACUUGCAACAUAGUCUCGCAAUACACAACUUUAGAGGAGGUAAAGAAGAAAAAUAUCAAUAUAACAUAGCUAAACAUCGGAAUCACAUAAUGUGUUAUCCUUACAUAUGUUUAAGUUUCAAUUAAAUUGUUCAUUUACAUGUUUUUUCCUUUUUAAAGUGGGGCUUUGUUUGGUUGAUAGAUAUGGAGUAAUAUAUAUUGAAUUGAAUCUUGCCAUAUUGAGCUAUAUUGUUCAUCUAAUAUGUUAUGAAAAUAGGUGAUUCGGAUACAGAGUAGUUGUUAAAAAUUGACUAAAAUAUAAUUCAAUUGUUUAGCCUAAAAUAUUUGGAGGAGUUCUUUUAAGUAGAACGGACCACGUGUUAGUAGCACAUUAAUUUUCUUAUUUACUACUCCCUCCGUCCCAAUCUAUUCUUUACGCUUUCCUUUUCUAGUGUUCCAUUUUAAUCUUUACACUUAGAAUAUUUAUUUUUAUAUUGUAGCAUAAAAGUCCAAAUAUUCUGUCAAAAAGCGUGUCAAAUAAUUAUUUCAAACCAAUUAAAAUGAUUAGGUCAUUGUUACUAUUAAAUGUCUCACACUUUCUCAUUGGAACAUUACAUAUUUCUCAUUUUUCCAAUGUCAAAUUUUUGAUAAAAGUGAAAAUAUUAUUAAUACACGUAAUUUGCAUUGUUUAAGUUAAACUAAAAGAGAAUACUUAUCCAUAUUAAUUAUUUGUUAAAUUGCAUGCAUAAUACCAAACGUAAAGAUCGAAUAAAAAGGGACGAAUAGAGUACUUCUUCCACUUUUUUGUGGAUAAACCACUUUUAUUUUUACGAUUGUUAGUAAGUAAUAUCAACUAUUAAUAUUUUAAAUUAUCAUGCGAUUAGUAAAAAUUAUUACAAAAAAUGAUUUUAUUAUGUACUACAUCCGUUUAAUAAUGAUCGAUAUGGUUAAUACUUGUACAAAUAUUAAGAAAAAAGAGGAAGAGUGUGUAAAAAGGUAGGAAAUAAUAAUAAAAUAUGUAUAAAGUAAGAUAGAUAUGUAAAAAGGUGGGUGGGUAUAAGAAAAAAAAAGAAUAAAGUGAGUUAAAAUUUGUGAAUGUAGUCUAAUUUAUGACUUUAUGUGCCAAGAUAGUAAAAUUCCAUGUCCAAAAAUAGUAUGGAGUAAAAUUUCAUGUCCAGAAAUAGUAUGGAGUAUAAAAUACAAUGUAAAGAAAAUUAUGAAACGGACUAAAACGGAAAGCGUAAAUUUCAUUUUGAAACGAAGGUAGUAAGUAUUUAGACGAAUGCAACAUAAUGCUAUGAAGUACAUCAUAAAGUAUUAAUCAUCACAAAAAAACAUAUAUAAAGUAUUAAUAAUCAUAAAGUAUUAAUAAUCACCAAAAAACAUAUAUGAAAAAUAAAAAGAUGUGUGAAUAUUGAGGAAUUGCAAGAGUAGAUAGAUUAUAUUAGAUUACGCAAGUUUUACUCAUGUUUAAGGAAGUUACAUACUUUUUUAAAGUAGUAAAAUAUUACUAUCAAUGACGGUGGUAAUUAUUGAAUUAAGUUGUUAAAUAUUCAACGUAUAAAAUAUUACAAUCAAUGGCAAUUAUAAUAAUCAAAUUUGGUUACAUUGUUAAAGUAUUAUAGAGUGAUAUAGUAGUUUUUUUAUACACUCUUAUUCAUAUUCGUGACUUAAUUUGUAACUGCUUUGGAAAAUAUUUAUGUGGUAAUUUAUUUGUAAAAUAUUUAUGUCUCUUCUUUGAAAAACUUGUAUGUGCUAAUCCGUAAUGUUUAUUUGUAAAAAUUAUGUGUCUGCUUUGAAACUAUUAAUGUGCUUUAUAGAAUAUUUAUGUGCUAAUUAUUUACCAUAUGUGAUACGGAAUACUUGUAAAAUAUUUAUGUGCUAAUUUUUUUAGCGUAAUUAUGUUAGUAUCAGUAGACAUGUAUUAAUUGAUUUUUAAAAUCCUACUAUAUACUCCGUAUAACGGAUUAAUUUAUUUAUAAAAAGAUAUCUUGUAUUGGUUAUAUUUGUUACCAAAAUAUAUAAAAUAUUAUUUACAAAAUAUUCUCCAUGUGUAGAUUGUUUUUUUUUUGUUGAGGAAAAUGGAAUCAAAUAUUUUUAACAAAAUAAUUGUAGAAUCAAAUAUUUUACCUUUUUUUAUAUAUUAAAAGAGAGGCGAAUCAAUGAGUGACAUUUGUCAUCACCACAUUGAUUUCCUCUCUUUUAGUAUAAUAUAUAGAUCAGGGGCUUUUGUUCAUGGGAGAUAUAUAGUUUAUAACAUCAUGGUUUGUUAUAGAUAAUCAGAAGGUCGUUCUGGAUCGCGGCGGUUGUGUCUGGUUUGUUGGUUUACUGCAUUUGGAGUACAAGGAACGAUGCUUUUUGGUCCCAAAGAGUACAUACGGUUGAGCAUACUGUAAAGUAGAUACAAAGCAUAGUGAAAGAUAUCCAAAUUCGGGGGUCAAAGAGUUUUUAAAAACGUGGAGUGAAAGUUUCAGUAAAAGAAGUAUCACGAAUGGCAGUAAUUUAAACUAGAAGAAAGUUCUCAUAAUCUUGAUGUAGUCAAACACGGGUUAGUUCAUAGAUCCUUGGGUUUGGAUGCAUUCCUCAUUGUGCAUCUUGAUCAAUUGAAUCGUUUCAUUGUGGAUUCCUAUACCGAGUUUUUGUAACUGUGUUUCUGGAUGUCAUAAUUGGUUUUUUGAAUAAGACGACCUUUUCAUUCUUAUUA